CAUCUAUCCAAAAAUUGUCAAUUUCCCAAAUUCACUGCCCAAUACGGCGGCGUUACCACCGCUACCGCCCAAUCUAGCGGCCGCAUUACCGCCACGACACCACCACCACCUGUCGUAUAAAUUGGAUUUCAAGGUACCGACUGUGGGAAGCAUACUUGCUUCUUCAAGUUGAAGUUACAAUGAUGAUAGGAACUGUUUGUGCAAGGAGAAGUAUAUCCACAUUUUCUUGUUUAUGUCAAAGAAUUAAGCAGACAGAAAGUGAUAUUGUUAAAAUGUUUGAAAUCUCAAGGCCUAAGGCCGAAACAGAAGGCACUCAAGAGAAGAGACCACCCUUAAGAAGGGGUUCUGUAAGAAUAUUGGAUGAGAGGUUUAUCAGGAUUCUGAAGAUAUUUAAGUGGGGUCCUGAUGCUGAAAAGGCAUUGGAAGUGCUAAAGUUGAAAGUAGACAAUGAAUUGGUUCGAGAGGUUAUGAAAAUAGACACGGAGGUCAGUGUGAAAAUUCAAUUUUUUAAGUGGGCUGGUAAAAGGAGGAACUUUGAACAUGACUCUACUACUUACCUGACUUUGAUUCGAUGUCUUGAAGAAGCUGGGCUGACAGGUGAAAUGUGGAAGACGGUGCUAGAAAUGGCGCGGAGUACAUGUGUUAUUACUCCUGCUGAUCUAUCCGAGACUGUGAGAAUUUUGGGCAGGGCAAAGAUGGUAAACAAAGCACUAUCAAUAUUUUACCAUAUUAAAGGUCGCAAGUGCAAGCCAACUGCAACCACUUACAAUUCCAUUAUUAUGAUGCUGAUGCAAGAGGGUCAACAUGAAAAAGUGCAUGAGCUUUACAGUGAAAUGUGUAAUGAGGGCAACUGUUUCCCUGAUACAGUAACCUACAGUGCUCUUAUAUCAUCCUAUGCAAAGUUAGGUCGUGAUGAUUCUGCUAUUAGGUUAUUUGAUGAAAUGAAGGACAAUGGUUUACAUCCCACUGCAAAGAUAUAUACAACCUUGUUAGCAGUUCACUUCAAAAUGGGCAGGGUCGAAAUGGCUUUAGCAUUGGUCGAUGAGAUGAAGAAGAAUGCUUGUGCCCCAACUGUGUAUACUUACACUGAAUUGAUAAGAGGGCUUGGUAAAGCUGGUAGAAUCGAGGAAGCGUAUUCUAUAUUUCUGUCCAUGAUAAAAGAUGGAUGUAAGCCGGAUGUUGUGUUGAUAAACAAUGUGAUAAACCUUCUAGGAAGGGGAGGACGUAUAGGUGAUGCGUUUAAAUUGUUUAAUGAAAUGGAAUCAUUAAACUGUAAACCGAAUGUUGUGACAUAUAAUACUGUUAUAAAAUCCCUGUUUGAGUCGAAAGCGCCAAUAUCCGAGGUUUCAUCUUGGUUUGACAGAAUGAAAGCAAAUGGUGUUGCUCCAAGCUCUUUUACUUAUUCAAUACUUAUUGAUGGGUAUUGCAAGAAAAAUAGAGUUGAAAAAGCCUUAGCUUUGCUUGAGGAGAUGGACGAGAAGUGCUUUCCUCCUUGUCCAGCUGCCUAUUGCAGCUUGAUCAAUAGCCUUGGAAAAGCAAAACGCUAUGAAGCUGCUAAUGAGUUGUUUCAAGAACUAAAAGAGAGUUGUGGAUCUAGCAGUUCUCGGGUAUAUGCUGUAAUGAUAAAGCACUUCGGGAAAUGUGGCCGUUUGACUGAGGCUAUCAAUCUUUUCAAUGAGAUGCAAAAGCUGGGAUGUUCUCCUGAUGUAUAUGCACACAAUGCACUCAUGUCCGGACUGGUGAGGUCAGGUAUGCUAGAUGAGGCUUUUUCCAUGUUUCGUAGUAUGGAAGAAAAUGGUUGUGCUCCCGACUUGAACUCAUUUAACAUAAUACUAAAUGGUUUGUCCAAGACUGGUGACCCGCAGCGAGCGAUCGAGAUGUUUACAAAAAUGAAACAUUCAACAAUUAAGCCUGAUGCUGUCUCUUACAACACCAUUCUUGGUUGCCUAAGUCGUGCUGGCAUGUUCGAGGAAGCUGCAAGACUGAUGAAAGAGAUGCGUACCAAUGCUUUUGAAUAUGAUCUUAUAACAUACUCCUCAAUACUUGAAGCAGUCGGUCAUGUUGAUGAGGAUGGUACAUGUCAAACUUCAUGAGGGAGCUUUGGUAUGGGAGAUUCUUCUAGUUAGUGCUUUUCUUUAUUUACACUAUUUAGGACAUGGGAACCGUUUAAAUCAUCUUGGCCUGGCAAAGUGCGCAGCUCUAUGUAGGGUUUUAUGAUGCUCUAGUAAAAUUGAGUGGCAAAUAAUUGCAGCAUUUUGGUUAUUCUCCCUGCUGGUGUUGGCUUCUGCAGAUAUGUGAUUGAAUUUUCACUUUGGGGUAAGGGUUUAAAGUGGUAUCUUCAGCACAUAUAUUAGCAUGCAGACGGAAUCUUCCUCCUGUUCACUGAGUGGAAUUGGUAGCACCCUGUAACAAAAGACGAAGGAUGGUUAGCUUUUGGCAGUUGGACCUGAUUAGUUUCCUUUUGCUUCAUGAUUCUCUCUGUCAUAAAUAUAUCUAAUUCCAUCUGUGGGUAUGUGAGUUACAAAAUUUCCAUUAGUGAGUGUUUCUUCUGCCAUUGGUAGUUCCUUUGUUUGAAGAAGUGAGAACUUGCUUUGGGACACUGUGGUUCUGGCCUUAUAUAAAAAAAUUCCUUUGGGAAGGAGGAACGGGGAGAAGGUAAGUUUCACUUGUCCUGUGCAUCGGAUAUUUUUCACCAGAAUUCCACUUCUUUGUGCUCCUGGAUAUUUAACAUCUGCUUUUUAUCUCCUUAGAGUAUGGCAAAAACUAUUUUAUAUGGGCUUGGUGUUCCUUAAAGAUCCAAUGAAGUUCAUUUUUUUCCUUAUUGAACCCUGUGGCUACAUGGAGGCUGGAGCUAGCAAUCCUUGGCCUUCUGUCGGUUAAGUGGAUCAUUGUGAAUCUUUUAUGACCCUUCUUGCUGCAGUUUCUGAAGCUAGCGUGCUUCUGUGAUCAAUUUACUCAUAAUUAUGUUUAGAAAUUUCACGUCAAGGAUUAUCUACCCUCCCUUUCUCCUCUCUCAAAAUGACCAGGGUGUACCUAUUGCUUCCUACAAGUGAAAUUCUCCAGUGACCUUUUGGUGCACUCCAAUUUCGGGUCUAGAAUGAGACGGGGUAGGAGGCAUCAGGAUCACUCAUCCAGCUCAUUUUCUCUUCAGUUGCCAAAAGUUCCUCAGAACAAAUAUAAUACAAAUUGCAUUGCAUAACUAUAUCAUUUUGGACACUGGUGGUGGCUGCCAUAAUUGUUGUAUCUGGUGUAGAAUUUUCCUCAUCAUCCAAGCUGCAAAACUACGUGCAUCAUACAGUGCAUAAUAGUCCCUUGAAGCCAGCAACACUGCAUCACCAUACUGAAACUUAUGUAUAUUUAGGCACAGCCACCAGUUUGAAACCAAAGUUAUUCUUGUUUUACACAACUAUUGCACAAGGAUGAAAACGCUGACCUUAUCCGUCUUGAGGUUCAACUAUUGAUACAGAUGUUAUCGAUUGGGUGCAUGCCAGGUCUUAUUGUCUUAAACAUAUAACAAGCUGACCAAUUGCCAUAAAUCUCUUGGAAAGAGAGCUAUCAUAUCUUGUGUGGGUAUCACCAAGGAAUGCUGAAAUGUAACAUCUUUUUUGAUAAGUUGCUCAAAUGUACUAAUGUUACAGGAACUCUUUUAAGUUAUGUUCACCAUGGGAAGUCUGCCCUUUUGAGAAUAUUGAAGGCAAUAUUUCGAUAUUGGGAAUACAUGUAACAAUUGUAUAUAAAAACACCCACUUCGAAUGUUACUUUAAAUAUUUCGAA